GGAGUAUGGGCCGUUCUCAGUCCCAUUGUGGCCGUUCAACCUCUCAGUCCGGCUACGCAUCAUCGCCUUGGUGGGCUGUUAUCUCACCAACUAGCUAAUCGGACGCAAGCUCAUCCCCUGUCGAUAAAUCUUUUGUCAACCCCGGAUGUCCAGGGCCACGAUAGUCCGGUAUUACCCGCGCGUUGGCACGGCUAUUCCCGAACAGGGGGCAGAUUGCUUACGCGUUACUCACCCGUUCGCCGCUAUGCAUUGCUGCACCGCUCGACUUGCAUGUAUAAGACACGCCACCAGCGUUCGUU
rnacentral:rRNA from 1 species